rnacentral:rRNA from 1 species
ANCGGNGCCUACACAUGCAAGUCGAACGGCAGCACAGAGGAGCUUGCUCCUUGGGUGGCGAGUGGCGGACGGGUGAGGAAUACAUCGGAAUCUACUCUGUCGUGGGGGAUAACGUAGGGAAACUUACGCUAAUACCGCAUACGACCUACGGGUGAAAGCAGGGGAUCUUCGGACCUUGCGCGAUUGAAUGAGCCGAUGUCGGAUUAGCUAGUUGGCGGGGUAAAGGCCCACCAAGGCGACGAUCCGUAGCUGGUCUGAGAGGAUGAUCAGCCACACUGGAACUGAGACACGGUCCAGACUCCUACGGGAGGCAGCAGUGGGGAAUAUUGGACAAUGGGCGCAAGCCUGAUCCAGCCAUACCGCGUGGGUGAAGAAGGCCUUCGGGUUGUAAAGCCCUUUUGUUGGGAAAGAAAUCCAUCUGGNUAAUACCCGGGUGGGAUGACGGUACCCAAAGAAUAAGCACCGGCUAACUUCGUGCCAGCAGCCGCGGUAAUACGAAGGGUGCAAGCGUUACUCGGAAUUACUGGGCGUAAAGCGUGCGUAGGUGGUCGUUUAAGUCCGUUGUGAAAGCCCUGGGCUCAACCUGGGAACUGCAGUGGAUACUGGGCGACUAGAAUGUGGUAGAGGGUAGCGGAAUUCCUGGUGUAGC